rnacentral:rRNA from 1 species
AUGAACGCUGGCGGCGUGCCUAAUCCAUGCAAGUCGAGCGAACGGACGAGAAGCUUGCUUCUCUGAUGUUAGCGGCGGACGGGUGAGUAACACGUGGAUAACCUACCUAUAAGACUGGGAUAACUUCGGGAAACCGUAGCUAAUACCGGAUAAUAUUUUGAACCGCAUGGUUCAAAAGUGAAAGACGGUCUUGCUGUCACUUAUAGAUGGAUCCGCGCUGCAUUAGCUAGUUGGUAAGGUAACGGCUUACCAAGGCAACGAUGCAUAGCCGACCUGAGAGGGUGAUCGGCCACACUGGAACUGAGACAUGGUCCAGACUCCUACGGGAGGCAGCAGUAGGGAAUCUUCCGCAAUGGGCGAAAGCCUGACGGAGCAACGCCGCGUGAGUGAUGAAGGUCUUCGGAUCGUAAAACUCUGUUAUUAGGGAAGAACAUAUGUGUAAGUAACUGUGCACAUCUUGACGGUACCUAAUCAGAAAGCCACGGCUAACUACGUG